rnacentral:rRNA from 1 species
GCUUAGCAGGGCCUAGAUACCCAAAAGGUACCAGUUCUCAUUUGAGCUCGGAAGCUAAGCAGGGUCAGCCCUGGUUAGUACUUGAAUGGGAAACUGCCUGUGAAUACUAAGUGCCAUAAGCU